GCUAUAAUACUUUAAAAAGUAAUAUAAAAGUAGAGAUUUAUAAGUAAUUACUUUAUAAAAUAAUUUAUUUAAAUUAAGUAUAUAAAAGUAAAAUAAAGUAAUUAUAAGGAAAAUAAUAAGCUUUAUAAAAGUUAAGUAUAAACUUUAUUAAUUUAUAUUAUAUUAAAUUGCCUUUAUAGCGUAAUAAUUAAGCGUUAUAAAGCCCUAUUUAAUUCUAUAAAAAGCUGGUUUAAACCUAGCUAAAAGUA
rnacentral:tRNA from 1 species